rnacentral:rRNA from 1 species
CCUUAGUAGCGGCGAGUGAGCGGCAAAAGCUCAAAUUUGAAAUCUGGCUCUUUCAGAGUCCGAGUUGUAAUUUGAAGAAGGUAUCUUUGGGCCUGGCUCUUGUCUAUGUUUCUUGGAACAGAACGUCACAGAGGGUGAGAAUCCCGUGCGAUGAGAUGACCCAGGUCCGUGUAAAGUUCCUUCGACGAGUCGAGUUGUUUGGGAAUGCAGCUCUAAGUGGGUGGUAAAUUCCAUCUAAAGCUAAAUAUUGGCGAGAGACCGAUAGCGAACAAGUACAGUGAUGGAAAGAUGAAAAGAACUUUGAAAAGAGAGUGAAAAAGUACGUGAAAUUGUUGAAAGGGAAGGGCUUGAGAUCAGACUUGGCAUUUUGCAUGUUGCUUCUUCGGGGGCGGCCUCUGCGGUUUGUCGGGCCAGCAUCAGUUUGGGCGGCAGGACAAUCGCGUGGGAAUGUGGCACGGCCUCGGCUGUGUGUUAUAGCCCGCGUGGAUACUGCCAGCCUAGACUGAGGACUGCGGUUUAUACCUAGGAUGUUGGCAUAAUGAUCUUAAGUCGCCCGUCUUGAAAACAG